rnacentral:misc_RNA from 1 species
AAAGUCGUAACAAGGUAUCUGUAGGUGAACCUGCAGAUGGAUCAUUUCGAUGAAAACCUUUUUUUCGUGAGGUGUGGCUCGCACCUGUCUAACUAAACUGAGCUACCAUUUUCAACACGGUUGCACGGGUGGGCCUGUUGAUUAGUGCGGACGCGCUAGGAGACGGGUUUACCACUCAACACAAACACGUUUGAUGAUCUAGGAUUUGAAGGAAGUUCAUUUUACGAUGGAACCGACUGGUAAUGCGGUCGUCUAAAUCUAAAAAAUAACUUUUGGCAACGGAUCUCUUGGUUCUC